rnacentral:tRNA from 1 species
GGAAGGAAUCGUCUCCCGGUGGGGCGGCCGGUCUUCAAAACCGGCAGGGCCUGUCAGACAGGCCCGAGUAGGUUCGACUCCUGCUUCCUUCCG